rfam:Myotis brandtii contig261996, whole genome shotgun sequence.
CAUGGGUUCGUGGGGUCCCUCAGCCUGGCCUGCACCCUCUCGUAAUCUGGGACCCCUCAGGGGAUGUUGGAGAGCCAGCUUUGCCUGAUCCCUGCAGGCCAGGCCGAGGGACCCCACCAGUGCAUG